AUUGAACGCUGGCGGCAGGCCUAACACAUGCAAGUCGAACGGUAACAGGAAGAAGCUUGCUUCUUUGCUGACGAGUGGCGGACGGGUGAGUAAUGUCUGGGAAACUGCCUGAUGGAGGGGGAUAACUACUGGAAACGGUAGCUAAUACCGCAUAACGUCGCAAGACCAAAGAGGGGGACCUUCGGGCCUCUUGCCAUCGGAUGUGCCCAGAUGGGAUUAGCUAGUAGGUGGGGUAACGGCUCACCUAGGCGACGAUCCCUAGCUGGUCUGAGAGGAUGACCAGCCACACUGGAACUGAGACACGGUCCAGACUCCUACGGGAGGCAGCAGUGGUGAAUAUUGCACAAUGGGCGCAAGCCUGAUGCAGCCAUGCCGCGUGUAUGAAGAAGGCCUUCGGGUUGUAAAGUACUUUCAGCGGGGAGGAAGGGAGUAAAGUUAAUACCUUUGCUCAUUGACGUUACCCGCAGAAGAAGCACCGGCUAACUCCGUG
rnacentral:rRNA from 1 species